UUACGGCCAUAUCACGUUGAAACGCUGAUUCUCGUACGAUCUCCAAUGUUAAGCAACGACGUGCCUGGUCAGUACUUAAAUGAGUGACCAAUUGGGAAUACCUUGUGCUGUAGG